rnacentral:rRNA from 1 species
GACGAACGCUGGCGGCGUGCUUAACACAUGCAAGUCGAACGGUGAACUCCGCUUGCGGGGGGAUCAGUGGCGAACGGGUGAGUAACACGUGGGCAACCUGCCCUCAGCUCUGGGAUAACUCCAAGAAAUUGGGGCUAAUACUGGAUAUGACUGCUGACCGCAUGGUCUGGUGGUGGAAAGAUUUAUCGGCUGGGGAUGGGCCCGCGGCCUAUCAGCUUGUUGGUGGGGUAGUGGCCUACCAAGGCGACGACGGGUAGCCGGCCUGAGAGGGUGACCGGCCACACUGGGACUGAGACACGGCCCAGACUCCUACGGGAGGCAGCAGUGGGGAAUAUUGCGCAAUGGGCGAAAGCCUGACGCAGCGACGCCGCGUGGGGGAUGACGGCCCUCGGGUUGUAAACCUCUUUCAGCAGGGACGAAGCGGAAGUAACGGUACCUGCAGAAGAAGCACCGGCCAACUACGUGCCAGCAGCCGCGGUAAUACGUAGGGUGCAAGCGUUGUCCGGAAUUAUUGGGCGUAAAGAGCUCGUAGGCGGUUUGUUGCGUCGGCUGUGAAAACCUGAGGCUCAACCUCAGGCCUGCAGUCGAUACGAGCAGACUAGAGUGUUGCAGGGGAGACUGGAAUUCCUGGUGUAGCGGUGAAAUGCGCAGAUAUCGGGAGGAACACCGGUGGCGAAGGCGGGUCUCUGGGCAACAACUGACGCUGAGGAGCGAAAGCGUGGGGAGCGAACAGGAUUAGAUACCCUGGUAGUCCACGCCGUAAACGUUGGGCGCUAGGUGUGGGGCUCAUUCCACGAGUUCCGUGCCGCAGCUAACGCAUUAAGCGCCCCGCCUGGGGAGUACGGCCGCAAGGCUAAAACUCAAAGGAAUUGACGGGGGCCCGCACAAGCGGCGGAGCAUGUUGCUUAAUUCGAUGCAACGCGAAGAACCUUACCUAGGCUUGACAUGCACGGAAAUCCUCCAGAGAUGGUGGGUCCGUAAGGGUCGUGCACAGGUGGUGCAUGGUUGUCGUCAGCUCGUGUCGUGAGAUGUUGGGUUAAGUCCCGCAACGAGCGCAACCCUCGUUCUAUGUUGCCAGCACGUGAUGGUGGGGACUCAUAGGAGACUGCCGGGGUCAACUCGGAGGAAGGUGGGGAUGACGUCAAAUCAUCAUGCCCCUUAUGUCUAGGGCUGCAAACAUGCUACAAUGGCCGGUACAAAGGGCUGCGAUACCGCGAGGUGGAGCGAAUCCCAAAAAGCCGGUCUCAGUUCGGAUUGGGGUCUGCAACUCGACCCCAUGAAGUUGGAGUCGCUAGUAAUCGCAGAUCAGCAACGCUGCGGUGAAUACGUUCCCGGGCCU